rnacentral:rRNA from 1 species
CAGCCGCCGCGGUAAUACCAGCCCCGCGAGUGGUCGGGACGGUUAUUGGGCCUAAAGCGCCCGUAGCCGGCCCGGCAAGUCCCUCCUUAAAGCCUCGGGCCCAACCCGAGGACGGGGGGGAUACUGCCGGGCUAGGGGGCGGGAGAGGCCGGCGGUACUCCCGGGGUAGGGGCGAAAUCCGUUAAUCCCGGGAGGACCACCAGUGGCGAAGGCGGCCGGCUGGAACGCGCCCGACGGUGAGGGGCGAAAGCCGGGGGAGCGAACCGGAUUAGAUCCCCGGGUAGUCCCGGCUGUAAACGAUGCGGGCUAGCUGUUGGGCGGGCUUAGAGCCCGCCCAGUGGCGCAGGGAAGCCGUUAAGUCCGCCGCCUGGGGAGUACGGCCGCAAGGCUGAAACUUAAAGGAAUUGGCGGG